CACGAAAUCUGCUAGUGUCACGCCAAGCCAUGGCGAGUGAUUAAUGGAAGGCAAAGCGCCUCCGGCAUCAUCAACUAAAAUCAUGAGCGCNCUGUGAGUCCGCGGAAGACGUCAAGAGAUAUAAGCCGUUGAUUAGGCGGCGGCGGUGGUGGCGUCUCCUCUACGUCGUUGGAUGAUGAGGAAGGUGUGGUCUCUUGUUCUUGUCCNGUACUAUGGAGGAGAAGGGGUUGCCGUUGUUCAUCUUCUGUCACUGUGAUCAGCGUUGCCA
rnacentral:misc_RNA from 1 species